ACGCACGCACGCACGUACACAACAAAGUAUUCAGAGUCAAUGUCGACGAUACGAAACCAUUUUGACCAUUGAGCGAGGAUACAAUCGUUUCGGACCCCUUUGCUUGACGAUCCUCUCCCUCGAUAGUCAUGUACAAAUCACGAGCAACGCCAUCGCCAAGCUGCCGUGUCUCACAAGCCCUCGUCCCUUGAAGAUAUCACGUACAUAUCGGCCCGUUGCCGACCCCUUUACGCUAUCAUCUCGGGAGGUGAGGUGGACACAUUUUGUGUGCCUUCAUGUGGUCGCCGAAACCCUAAUCUCCGUCCUCCGGUUUACCUGCCACCAAUGCAACCACAGAGCGGACCCGGGGGAUUGCACGGCGCAUAAAAUUUGAAGGCAGAAGCAAGGACGUUCCUAGAUUCAUGGCUCAAAGGUACCUUAAGGGUCUCCGCCAUCCGCCCGCCCGCCCACGACCCGUCGCGCGUCGUCCGUCCGUCAACUACAUACUCCAUGUCCACUACAGCCAAGGGAGCUAGUGGUACCACAGAAAUCUAGGGUAUCAAAAUGUCUAGAAUGCUCAUUUCUCGUACAGACAGCCACCUUGGGAGUAC